CCUACGGGAGGCAGCAGUGGGGAAUUUUGGACAAUGGGGGAAACCCUGAUCCAGCAAUGCCGCGUGAGUGAAGAAGGCCUUCGGGUUGUAAAGCUCUUUUGUCAGGGAAGAAACACCGGCUCUAACACAGUCCGGGAAUGACGGUACCUGAAGAAUAAGCACCGGCUAACUACGUGCCAGCAGCCGCGGUAAUACGUAGGGUGCAAGCGUUAAUCGGAAUUACUGGGCGUAAAGCGUGCGCAGGCGGUUAUACAAGACAGGCGUGAAAUCCCCGGGCUUAACCUGGGAAUGGCGCCUGUGACUGUAUAGCUAGAGUGUGUCAGAGGGGGGUAGAAUUCCACGUGUAGCAGUGAAAUGCGUAGAUAUGUGGAGGAAUACCAAUGGCGAAGGCAGCCCCCUGGGAUAACACUGACGCUCAUGCACGAAAGCGUGGGGAGCAAACAGGAUUAGAUACCCUGGUAGUCCACGCCCUAAACGANNUGACUAGUGUUCGGUAGUUACUAUCUGUAGUAACGUAGUAUACGCGUGAGUAGAGCGCCGNGGGAGGUACGGUACGUCGAGAAGUUAAACGUUAACGUAAAGAAAGUUAGUAGGCGNGAGAGAGCGACGGACGACGACGAGGGAGGAGG
rnacentral:rRNA from 1 species